rnacentral:rRNA from 1 species
AACACGUGAAAUUCCGUCGGAAUCUGGGAGGACCCUCUCCCAAGGCUAAAUACUCCCUAGUGAUCGAUAGUGAACCAGUACCGUGAGGGAAAGGUGAAAAGCACCCCGGAAGGGGAGUGAAAGAGAUCCUGAAACCGUGUGCCUACAAAUAGUCAGAGCCCGUUAACGGGUGAUGGCGUGCCUUUUGUAGAAUGAACCGGCGAGUUACGAUCCCGUGCGAGGUUAAGCUGAAGAGGCGGAGCCGCAGCGAAAGCGAGUCUGAAUAGGGCGUUUAGUACGUGGUCGUAGACCCGAAACCAGGUGAUCUACCCAUGUCCAGGGUGAAGUUCAGGUAACACUGAAUGGAGGCCCGAACCCACGCACGUUGAAAAGUGCGGG